UACAGAGGGGGCGAGCGUUGUUCGGAAUUACUGGGCGUAAAGGGCGCGUAGGCGGCCUGCUAAGUCAUACGUGAAAUCCCUCGGCUCAACCGGGGAACUGCGUGUGAUACUGGCGGGCUUGAAUUCGGGAGAGGGAUGCGGAAUUCCAGGUGUAGCGGUGAAAUGCGUAGAUAUCUGGAGGAACACCGGUGGCGAAGGCGACAUCCUGGACCGGUAUUGACGCUGAGGCGCGAAAGCCAGGGGAGCAAACGGG
rnacentral:rRNA from 1 species